AUACGUAGGGGGCGAGCGUUGUCCGGAAUGAUUGGGCGUAAAGGGCGCGUAGGCGGCCUGUUAAGUCUGGAGUGAAAGUCCUGUUUUCAAGAUGGGAAUUGCUUUGGAUACUGUCGGGCUUGAGUGCAGGAGAGGUAAGUGGAAUUCCCAGUGUAGCGGUGAAAUGCGUAGAGAUUGGGAGGAACACCAGUGGCGAAGGCGACUUACUGGACUGUAACUGACGCUGAGGCGCGAAAGUGUGGGGAGCAAACAGGAUUAGAUACCCUGGUAGUCCACACUGUAAACGAUGAAUGCUAGGUGUAGGGGGUAUCGACCCCUUCUGUGCCGCAGUCAACACAAUAAGCAUUCCGCCUGGGGAGUACGGCCGCAAGGUUGAAACUCAAAUGAAUUGACGGGG
rnacentral:rRNA from 1 species